AGAAGGGGAGGAGGUGGGUUGUGGACGGGGACAGGAGUACCCCUUGAACCCCCAACCUCUCUGGAUUGAUCAAAGAGGGGCUAGCUGGUUGAUGGAAUGAGUGGGGGCGGAGAAGAGAGAGAGAGAGAGUGCUCACCAGGCUGGGAAAGAUCCAGAACCUCGUUAAUGUCUGACACCUCCAAUAAAAGCUGCAUAUUCCCCAAAAGCGAUUUUUGAAAGUCCUAAGCUCUUUGAAGCUUGGUGUUUAACAGCCACUCCUUCCACGCACUUAAUAGGAAACCAAGCCCCUUGGCUUGCUCACCGGACUCCACCUGGGGCAACUCCCCUCCUCCAAGCAUUUGAGGUCCUGUGUGGGGACCCUUGAAGCUUCUGUGGCUUGGCAUGAAAGGCAGCCCUUGGUCCCUACAGAAUGAAGGGGAGCUGCCCCCAGGGGCGAUGACUAGGUGGAAACUGAGGCACAGAGGCUGCAGCGGGUCAGAGUUGGGGGAAGGGAGCAGGGAUGAGAUCUGGAAGUUGGAAGGUGGAUGGAACUGAGAAGUAUGGUUAAGCCCAGGCAGACGGUUUCCCAUCUCUACUUCCUCUUUCUCCUUCCUCCUCCACUUCUUCCUCCUCCAUUUGACUGAAAAAGCAGCACACGCUUAUAUGCUAAAGUAGAAGCAUAAUGAAAACUAAGUCCCCCUUUACUGCAGGCCACCUAUCUCCCCAAAUGCAGGCAAUUUAGUAUUAUCAGCAUUUGCGUAUCAUUUAAAAAUAUUCUGGCCAGGGUGUAGUUCAGUGUCUGAGAGCUUGCUAUCAUGUGUAAGGCCCUUUGUUCAAUUCCCA
rnacentral:lncRNA from 1 species